UGGGGAAUUUUGGACAAUGGGCGAAAGCCUGAUCCAGCAAUGCCGCGUGUGUGAAGAAGGCCUUCGGGUUGUAAAGCACUUUUGUCCGGAAAGAAAUCCUUGGCUCUAAUACAGUCGGGGGAUGACGGUACCGGAAGAAUAAGCACCGGCUAACUACGUGCCAGCAGCCGCGGUAAUACGUAGGGUGCAAGCGUUAAUCGGAAUUACUGGGCGUAAAGCGUGCGCAGGCGGUCUGCUAAGACCGAUGUGAAAUCCCCGGGCUCAACCUGGGAACUGCAUUGGUGACUGGCAGGCUAGAGUAUGGCAGAGGGGGGUAGAAUUCCACGUGUAGCAGUGAAAUGCGUAGAGAUGUGGAGGAAUACCGAUGGCGAAGGCAGCCCCCUGGGCCAAGUACUGACGCUCAUGCACGAAAGCGUGGGGAGCAAACAGGAUUAGAUACCCUGGUAGUCCACGCCCUAAACGAUGUCAACUAGUUGUUGGGGAUUCAUUUCCUUAGUAACGUAGCUAACGCGUGAAGUUGACCGCCUGGGGAGUACGGUCGCAAGAUUAAAACUCAAAUGAAUUGACGGGGUCAUAGCUGUUUCCU
rnacentral:rRNA from 1 species